AGUCGUCCUACACAAUAACUCCCCUCUCUUGUCUCCCUCACACCAGCCAUGAAGGUUUUCAAAGGUUUCUAGAUCUACUCAGCAUCUCAUUUUUCUAUGAUCCAGGAAAAUUUCUCAUCAGUUAUCAGAGAAUCGUAGAGAACGCCAGAACGUUAUGUCAAGUAACAAUUAUGUAUUUUAGAAAGAUAACCUUUUCAAUUUAAGGAGCAUGUGCAGGCUUCCAAUGUCCACCCACUCAUAGAAAAAAAGAGUGCGACCACCUUGAGGACUGGGCCAUGUCUUUUUCAUCUUUGCAUCCCUAACAAGUAACAAUACUUGACCUUUGUUAGCAAUCAAUAAAAGUCUACCAACUGACUGAUUAA